AUGACACAGUGGUGGCUCCCAUGGAACUGCAUCGUCUCCUGAGUUGACACAGCUCCUGUUUUGUAGCUUAGUUUUGCUCCAUCAGUGGUCAAUACCUGGGGAAUUAUAAAACCCUGCACCCAGUGAUGCUUCAACCUACAGUUUGUUCUUCAGCCCAAGAGUGAAGAAUAGCGUCUUCAGGUGAGGAGGUACAGACUCAGCACCUAGGUAUUUUCUCCAUAUCUGCCUGUGUCUAAUGGGUGAGCAACUAGCAGAGUGGAAGCCAGCAGAGGUUAGUGGAGCCCACUGAUGAAAGAUGCUGGGUCCCUGGUGUCUGUCGGGGGAUGCUGGAAGGGCAUUGGGCUGAAGACAGAAUGAUUCAAGCCAAGGGUGAUGACCAACUCUUUGACAGAGGCCAGGACAGCCAACUCCAGGGAGAAAGGAGGGAGUGAUAUAAGCCAUUGUGUUCUGCACACCAGGGCACUCUGGACUCCACACUGUCUGUCAGAAGAAUAGCUCCUCUAUACUUUCAUUGGGCCACAAAAGUCAUGCCAAAAAUCAUAGCCAAGUGUCUUUAGUGUCUACAGCAGCCAAGAAAGUGUGGACAUCUCCAGGCAACUCCAGAAGGUCAGAGAAAGCAAUGGCGACAGAGACCAACAUAGGUGUGCAGGAAUCAAUCAAGGAACAAGGAGCAUGGUGCUAUGCUGGGGUACCUUCCGGAAGCAGAGGGUCGUCAACCUGUGAGCAUCUCUACAACCAUCACACUCUCAUCUGAGAAAGUAGCUUCUUUUCCUAGGGAUACCGUGACAAAUAGCCACAAGCUCGGUACUUUACAAGAGAACGAAUCUCUUGCCAUUCUGAAGGGCGAUAGCCUAAGAUCAAGCCAUCUGCAGAGCAGUACCCCUUCAUCCGGGAACUGAGAUUCUACCCAGCCUCCUCCAGUGUCUGAUGACCAUGUCACCACAAUAUCUGCCUCCUUUAUUGUGUAGCUUUCUUCUCCUCCCGCUGCC
rnacentral:lncRNA from 1 species